rnacentral:rRNA from 1 species
UGCAGUCGAACGAUGAAGCCGAGCUUGCUUGGUGGAUUAGUGGCGAACGGGUGAGUAACACGUGAGCAACCUGCCCUGGACUCUGGGAUAAGCGCUGGAAACGGUGUCUAAUACUGGAUAUGAGCUCUCAUCGCAUGGUGGGGGUUGGAAAGAUUUUUCGGUCUGGGAUGGGCUCGCGGCCUAUCAGCUUGUUGGUGAGGUAAUGGCUUACCAAGGCGUCGACGGGUAGCCGGCCUGAGAGGGUGACCGGCCACACUGGGACUGAGACACGGCCCAGACUCCUACGGGAGGCAGCAGUGGGGAAUAUUGCACAAUGGGCGGAAGCCUGAUGCAGCAACGCCGCGUGAGGGAUGACGGCCUUCGGGUUGUAAACCUCUUUUAGCAAGGAAGAAGCGAAAGUGACGGUACUUGCAGAAAAAGCGCCGGCUAACUACGUGCCAGCAGCCGCGGUAAUACGUAGGGCGCAAGCGUUAUCCGGAAUUAUUGGGCGUAAAGAGCUCGUAGGCGGUUUGUCGCGUCUGCUGUGAAAACCCGAGGCUCAACCUCGGGCCUGCAGUGGGUACGGGCAGACUAGAGUGCGGUAGGGGAGAUUGGAAUUCCUGGUGUAGCGGUGGAAUGCGCAGAUAUCAGGAGGAACACCGAUGGCGAAGGCAGAUCUCUGGGCCGUAACUGACGCUGAGGAGCGAAAGGGUGGGGAGCAAACAGGCUUAGAUACCCUGGUAGUCCACCCCGUAAACGUUGGGAACUAGUUGUGGGGUCCUUUCCACGGAUUCCGUGACGCAGCUAACGCAUUAAGUUCCCCGCCUGGGGAGUACGGCCGCAAGGCUAAAACUCAAAGGAAUUGACGGGGACCCGCACAAGCGGCGGAGCAUGCGGAUUAAUUCGAUGCAACGCGAAGAACCUUACCAAGGCUUGACAUACACGAGAACAUCCCAAAAAUGGGGGACUCUUUGGACACUCGUGAACA